rnacentral:rRNA from 1 species
UAGUCCUACGGGACGCAGCAGUGGGGAAUAUUGCACAAUGGGGGAAACCCUGAUGCAGCGACGCCGCGUGAGCGAAGAAGUAUUUCGGUAUGUAAACCUCUAUCAGCAGGGAAGAAAAAUGACGGUACCUGAGUAAGAAGCACCGGCUAAAUACGUGCCAGCAGCCGCGGCAAUACGUAUGGUGCAAGCGUUAUCCGGAUUUACUGGGUGUAAAGGGAGCGCAGGCGGUGCGGCAAGUCUGAUGUGAAAGCCCGGGGCUC